rnacentral:rRNA from 1 species
UACAGAAGGUGCGAGCGUUAAUCGGAAUUACUGGGCGUAAAGCGCACGUAGGCGGCUUGGUAUGACGGGUGUGAAAUCCCCGGGCUCAACCUGGGAACUAAAUCAGAAACUGCCUUGCUAGAGUAUGGGAGAGGGAAGUGGAAUUUUCGGUGUAGCAGUGAAAUGCUUAGAUAACGGAAGGAACACCAGGGGCGAAGGCGACUUCCUGGACCAAUACUGACGCUCAGGUGCGGAAGCGUGGGGAGCAUACAGC